rnacentral:lncRNA from 1 species
CCCAGAAGCAAUCCAUCAUGCGAUCCAACGACUAUUAUCGUUCCUGACUUUGAAUAGGACUCUUUUGCGCGAUCCGAUGGCUAGAACUUAAUCAGAACCCAGAUCCAAUGGCGACAUUUGAUCCGACCCUGAUAAGGAUUAUAACUCUGAUUUUUGAGUAGAUCUGGAUGGUCCGAAGCUGAUCCGACGGUCAAAAAUAUUCUUAAGGAGAUUAAUACGAUUUCUAAAGAUUUUAGGACUCCUUUUCCUAUCAAAAAAAUAUUAAAAAUUUAUCUAUAAAUAGGGGGUUCGGGAAUAAGCUUU